GGCGGACGGGUGAGUAACACGUGAGAAUUUGCCUUUAGGAGGGGGACAACAAUUGGAAACGAAUGCUAAUACCCCAUAUGCUUUCACGAGUAAAAUGGAUUUUAUUAUCUGCCUAAAGAGAAGCUCGCGGCUGAUUAGCUUGUUGGUAAGGUAAAAGCUUACCAAGGCGACGAUCAGUAUCUGGUUUGAGAGGACGAUCAGACACACUGGAACUGAGACACGGUCCAGACUCCUACGGGAGGCAGCAGUGGGGAAUUUUCCGCAAUGGGCGAAAGCCUGACGGAGCAAUACCGCGUGAGGGAAGACUGCCUAUGGGUUGUAAACCUCUUUUUUCAGGGAGGAAUAAAAUGACGUGUACCUGAAGAAUAAGCAUCGGCUAACUCCGUGCCAGCAGCCGCGGUAAGACGGAGGAUGCAAGUGUUAUCCGGAAUCACUGGGCGUAAAGCGUCUGUAGGUGGUUUAAUAAGUCAACUGUUAAAUCUUGAGGCUCAACUUCAAAACUGCAGUCGAAACUAUUAGACUAGAGUAUAGUAGAGGUAAAGGGAAUUUC
rnacentral:rRNA from 1 species